AAAAAGAUGGCACUUCUAUUUUUUUACUUCAUAUUUCGUCAGCAAAUUCUUUACUGUUUCACAAUGACACAUUUCAUUUACACCAAAAAUGUGUGUGACGUUUGUGUUGCCUUGGUGAGACGGGAGCUGUGUACAUGGCUCUGUUAAAUGUUAGAUACAGCACAUAGAUUGCUGACAUUGGCACACAUAAACACACGGGUUUAUACCAAAACAUUCGCUUCUCUCUCAGCUAUCAGAGUUCAUGCUGUCUUUUCUCAAGAAUUCUUCACCUGAUUAGAAAUGACCCAACUACCAAAUUAUAACUCAUCACCUAAUGACGUAUUUC